GGCGAUGCCUAAUACAUGCAAGUCGAACGAGAUCUUCGGGUCUAGUGGCGCACGGGUGCGUAACGCGUGGGAAUCUGCCCUUGGGUUCGGAAUAACUUCUGGAAACGGAAGCUAAUACCGGAUGAUGACGUAAGUCCAAAGAUUUAUCGCCCAAGGAUGAGCCCGCGUAGGAUUAGCUAGUUGGUGGGGUAAAGGCCCACCAAGGCGACGAUCCUUAGCUGGUCUGAGAGGAUGAUCAGCCACACUGGGACUGAGACACGGCCCAGACUCCUACGGGAGGCAGCAGUAGGGAAUAUUGGACAAUGGGCGAAAGCCUGAUCCAGCAAUGCCGCGUGAGUGAUGAAGGCCUUAGGGUUGUAAAGCUCUUUUACCCGGGAUGAUAAUGACAGUACCGGGAGAAUAAGCUCCGGCUAACUCCGUGCCAGCAGCCGCGGUAAUACGGAGGGAGCUAGCGUUGUUCGGAAUUACUGGGCGUAAAGCGCACGUAGGCGGCUAUUCAAGUCAGAGGUGAAAGCCCGGGGCUCAACCCCGGAACUGCCUUUGAAACUAGAUAGCUUGAAUCCAGGAGAGGUGAGUGGAAUUCCGAGUGUAGAGGUGAAAUUCGUAGAUAUUCGGAAGAACACCAGUGGCGAAGGCGGCUCACUGGACUGGUAU
rnacentral:rRNA from 1 species